rnacentral:snoRNA from 1 species
GCGUAUGAUGAACAAUGGGUCUGCUGAAGGGAAACCUAGUGAUGAUCCGUUGGAGCGCUGAUG